rnacentral:rRNA from 1 species
CUUAACACAUGCAAGUCGAGGGGCAGCAUGGUCUUAGCUUGCUAAGGCCGAUGGCGACCGGCGCACGGGUGAGUAACGCGUAUCCAACCUGCCUUACACUCUUGGACAGCCUUCUGAAAGGGAGAUUAAUACAAGAUGUUAUCAUGAGUAAGCAUUUUCGCAUGAUUAAAGGUUUACCGGUGUAAGAUGGGGAUGCGUUCCAUUAGAUAGUAGGCGGGGUAACGGCCCACCUAGUCUUCGAUGGAUAGGGGUUCUGAGAGGAAGGUCCCCCACAUUGGAACUGAGACACGGUCCAAACUCCUACGGGAGGCAGCAGUGAGGAAUAUUGGUCAAUGGACGAGAGUCUGAACCAGCCAAGUAGCGUGAAGGAUGAAGGUUCUAUGGAUUGUAAACUUCUUUUAUACGGGAAUAAACGGAUCCACGUGUGGAUUUUUGCAUGUACCGUAUGAAUAAGGAUCGGCUAACUCCGUGCCAGCAGCCGCGGUAAUACGGAGGAUCCGAGCGUUAUCCGGAUUUAUUGGGUUUAAAGGGAGCGUAGAUGGGUUGUUAAGUCAGUUGUGAAAGUUUGCGGCUCAACCGUAAAAUUGCAAUUGAUACUGGCAGUCUUGAGUACAGUUGAGGUAGGCGGAAUUCGUGGUGUAGCGGUGAAAUGCUUAGAUAUCACGAAGAACUCCGAUUGCGAAGGCAGCUUACUAACCUGUAACUGACAUUGAUGCUCGAAAGUGUGGGUAUCAAACAGGAUUAGAUACCCUGGUAGUCCACACGGUAAACGAUGAAUACUCGCUGUAGGCGAUAUACAGUCUGCGGCCAAGCGAAAGCAUUAAGUAUUCCACCUGGGGAGUACGCCGGCAACGGUGAAACUCAAAGGAAUUGACGGGGGCCCGCACAAGCGGAGGAACAUGUGGUUUAAUUCGAUGAUACGCGAGGAACCUUACCCGGGCUUAAAUUGCAACCGAAUAUGGCGGAAACGCUAUAGCUAGCAAUAGCGGUUGUGAAGGUGCUGCAUGGUUGUCGUCAGCUCGUGCCGUGAGGUGUCGGCUUAAGUGCCAUAACGAGCGCAACCCUUGCCGAUAGUUACUAACAGGUCAUGCUGAGGACUCUGUCGGGACUGCCAUCGUAAGAUGUGAGGAAGGUGGGGAUGACGUCAAAUCAGCACGGCCCUUACGUCCGGGGCUACACACGUGUUACAAUGGGGGGUACAGAGGGCUGCUACCACGCAAGUGGAUGCCAAUCCCAAAAACCUCUCUCAGUUCGGAUUGAAGUCUGCAACCCGACUUCAUGAAGCUGGAUUCGCUAGUAAUCGCGCAUCAGCCACGGCGCGGUGAAUACGUUCCCGGGCCUUGUACACACCGCCCGUCAAGCCAUGGGAGCCGGGGGUACCUGAAGUGCGUAACCGCAAGGAGCGCCCUAGGGUAAAACUGGUGACUGGGGCU